CGGGGAACAGGGAACAGGUCAGCGAUCAUCUUGAAUGAGAGAAAAGAAAUCCGAUCCGCCUCGUUUGUGGAUAUUGAUACCACAGGCUCAGCCAGCAUUUUGGCUAAUUACCUGAGGUGGUAAUGAAUUGCCUUCUUGAACCACAGCAACUACGUAAGCCACUGAGGAAGUUGUUGAUUCAUUCUCCCAGUCUUUCUCACCAUUGCGAUUGACAGAACAACUUGGUGACAUAAAUCCAUCAACU